rnacentral:rRNA from 1 species
GUCCUGUUGAUUAUUUAAUAGGUCUGGCCUGCCCAGUGAUAAUUUUAACGGCCGCGGUAUAUUGACCGUGCAAAGGUAGCAUAAUCAUUAGUCUUUUAAUAGGAGGCUGGUAUGAAAGGUCUCACGAGAAAUUAACUGUCUCAAUUACAAGUUCGAAUUUAUCUUUUGAGUCAAAAGACUUAAAUUCAAUUGGAGGACGAGAAGACCCUAUAGAGCUUAACAUUUUUUCUUCUAUAUUUUUUCAGGUUAUAUUAUUUAUUUAUAUUGGAAAAAUUGUUUUGUUGGGGUGACAAUAAAUAUAUAUUUAACUUUUAUCAUAAUAUUUACAUUAAUUUAUGAUUUUUGGAUCCAAAAUUUUUGAUCAUUAGUUCAAGUUACC